AAGGGGAGCAAUCCCUGAGUAAAGUGGCGACCGGGUGAGUAACACGUGACUAACCUACCCUCGGGUGUGGAAUAACAUCGGGAAACCGAUGCUAAUACCGCACAACAUCGCAAGAUCAAAGGAGCAAUCCGCUUGAGGAGGGGGUCGCGGCUGAUUAGCUAGUUGGCGGGGUAACGGCCCACCAAGGCGAAGAUCGGUAGCCGGCCUGAGAGGGCGCACGGCCACACUGGAACUGAAACACGGUCCAGACUCCUACGGGAGGCAGCAGUGGGGAAUUUUGCGCAAUGGGGGAAACCCUGACGCAGCAACGCCGCGUGGAGGAUGAAGCCCCUUGGG
rnacentral:rRNA from 1 species